rnacentral:rRNA from 1 species
UUGAGUAUAAUUAAAGUUGUAAAUUUGAUGAAAUAAUUUAUUUAUAUUAAAUAGAGUAAUAAUUAGUAUUUAAUAGUUUUAGUAGAAAUUUUAAAUAAAUAAAUUUUAUUGUAGUUUUUUUGUAAAGAAAUUGAUAAUGUUAUUAAUUAUUUUUUUCCCUUAAAAAAAUAAAAAGUAAAUUUAAUUAAUUGUACCUUUUGUAUCAGGAGUUAUUAAGUAGAUUUAUUGGAAUUUAAUAUAUCUCGAAUUUUAAAGAUCUAGAUUAUAAUGUUAGUUAGUAUUGAACUAUUAUUAAUAAUUUUAAUUUAGUAGUGAAAUGUUUACCCGAUUUAAAAGAUAUCUAGUUUUUUUAGAGUUGAAUUUAAUUCAGUAUUUAAUUUGUAUAAAAGUAAAUUUUAAGUAAAUUUAUAAAUUUAAAUAAAAUUAUUUUAGGGAUUAGCUUAAAAUAUUUUAAUAAUUUAAUUUAAUUUUAAUUUUUAAAUGUAUUUAUAGUAAUAGAAAUUUUUAAUAAGUAUGUUAUAAUUUAUAAAUAAUUAAAAUUUAAUUUUAAGUGAAAAUUUUAAAAUUCUAUAAAAAAAAUUAUUUUAAUUAAGAAAAUUAAGAUAUAAUGAUAAUAUUAGUAAAUUUUAUUUUGUUAGAGUAAUUAAUAUAUUUAAAAUUGAUAUUAAAGAACUAGACAAAGUUUUGUAUUCGCCUGUUUAUCAAAAACAUGGUUUGUAGAUAAUAAUUAUAAAUCGACUCUGCCCAAUGAAAUAAUAUUUUUAAUGGCUGCGGUAGCCUGACCGUACAAAGGUAGCAAAAUCAAUAGUUUUUUAAUUGAAAGCUGGAAUGAAUGAGUUGAUGAAAUAUAAAUUGUUUCAAUAUCAAUAAUUGAAAUUAAAAUUUGAGUUAAAAUGCUUAAAUUUUAUUAUUAGACGAUAAGACCCUAUAGAAUUUUAUAAAAUUUAAGUAAAGAAAAUUUUUUGUAAGAUGAGGUUUUUUACUUAAUUAUAUUUAGUUGGGAUGAUUAUAAAAUUUAAUGAACUUUUAAUUUUUUUAAGAACAUUAAUUAAUGAAUUUUUGAUUAUUAUUAUAAUUUUGAGAAAGAAUUACCUUAGGGAUAACAGCGUAAUAUUUUUGGAGAGAUCAAAUUGAUAAAAAUGUUUGCGACCUCGAUGUUGAAUUAUGAUAUAAUUUAGGUGCAGGAGUUUAAAUUGUUAGUCUGUUCGACUAUUAAAAUCAUACAUGAUUUGAGUUCAGAUCGGUGUAAGCCAGAUCGGUUUCUAUCUAUAAUAAAUAAAAAUUUUUUUGUACGAAAGGACUUAAAAUUUGAAAUAUAUUUUUAAAAAAAAUGAAUAAAAUUAAUUUUAUUAUAUUUUGUAUUAUAAUUUAUAUAAUUAUUUAAUUUGAUUAAAUUAGU